CGGGGUAUGGCGCAGCCCGGUAGCGUGCUCGUCUGGGGGGCGAGAGGUCGUGGGUUCAAAUCCCGCUACCCCGACUA
rnacentral:tRNA from 2 species